UGGGGAAUAUUGCACAAUGGGGGAAACUCUGACGCAGUGACGCCGCGUAUAGGAAGAAGGUCUUCGGAUUGUAAACUAUUGUCGUUAGGGAAGAGAAAGGACAGUACCUAAGGAGGAGGCUCCGGCUAACUACGUGCCAGCAGCCGCGGUAAUACGUAGGGAGCGAGCGUUAUCCGGAUUUAUUGGGUGUAAAGGGUGCGUAGACGGGAAAAUAAGUUAGUUGUGAAAUCCCUCGGCUCAACUGAGGAACUGCGACUAAAACUAUUUUUCUUGAGUGCAGGAGAGGAAAGUGGAAUUCCUAGUGUAGCGGUGAAAUGCGUAGAUAUUAGGAGGAACACCAGUGGCGAAGGCGACUUUCUGGACUGUAACUGACGUUGAGGCUCGAAAGCGUGGGGAGCAAACAGG
rnacentral:rRNA from 1 species